GAUUAAGUUAUUAAGGGCGCACGGUGGAUGCCUUGGCACUAGAAGCCGAUGAAGGACGUUACUAACGACGAUAUGCUUUGGGGAGCUGUAAGUAAGCUUUGAUCCAGAGAUUUCCGAAUGGGGAAACCCAGCAUGAGUUAUGUCAUGUUAUCGAUAUGUGAAUACAUAGCAUAUCAGAAGGCACACCCGGAGAACUGAAACAUCUUAGUACCCGGAGGAAGAGAAAGAAAAUUCGAUUCCCUUAGUAGCGGCGAGCGAAACGGGAAGAGCCCAAACCAACAAGCUUGCUUGUUGGGGUUGUAGGACACUCUAUACGGAGUUACAAAGGACGACAUUAGACGAAUCAUCUGGAAAGAUGAAUCAAAGAAGGUAAUAAUCCUGUAGUCGAAAAUGUUGUCUCUCUUGAGUGGAUCCUGAGUACGACGGAGCACGUGAAAUUCCGUCGGAAUCUGGGAGGACCAUCUCCUAAGGCUAAAUACUCUCUAGUGACCGAUAGUGAACCAGUACCGUGAGGGAAAGGUGAAAAGCACCCCGGAAGGGGAGUGAAAUAGAACCUGAAACCGUGUGCUUACAAGUAGUCAGAGCCCGUUAAUGGGUGAUGGCGUGCCUUUUGUAGAAUGAACCGGCGAGUUACGAUUUGAUGCAAGGUUAAGCAGUAAAUGUGGAGCCGUAGCGAAAGCGAGUCUGAAUAGGGCGUUUAGUAUUUGGUCGUAGACCCGAAACCAGGUGAUCUACCCUUGGUCAGGUUGAAGUUCAGGUAACACUGAAUGGAGGACCGAACCGACUUACGUUGAAAAGUGAGCGGAUGAACUGAGGGUAGCGGAGAAAUUCCAAUCGAACCUGGAGAUAGCUGGUUCUCUCCGAAAUAGCUUUAGGGCUAGCCUCAAGUGAUGAUUAUUGGAGGUAGAGCACUGUUUGGACGAGGGGCCCCUCUCGGGUUACCGAAUUCAGACAAACUCCGAAUGCCAAUUAAUUUAACUUGGGAGUCAGAACAUGGGUGAUAAGGUCCGUGUUCGAAAGGGAAACAGCCCAGACCACCAGCUAAGGUCCCAAAAUAUAUGUUAAGUGGAAAGGAUGUGGCGUUGCCCAGACAACUAGGAUGUUGGCUUAGAAGCAGCCAUCAUUUAAAGAGUGCGUAAUAGCUCACUAGUCGAGUGACACUGCGCCGAAAAUGUACCGGGGCUAAACAUAUUACCGAAGCUGUGGAUUGUCCUUUGGACAAUGGUAGGAGAGCGUUCUAAGGGCGUUGAAGCAUGAUCGUAAGGACAUGUGGAGCGCUUAGAAGUGAGAAUGCCGGUGUGAGUAGCGAAAGACGGGUGAGAAUCCCGUCCACCGAUUGACUAAGGUUUCCAGAGGAAGGCUCGUCCGCUCUGGGUUAGUCGGGUCCUAAGCUGAGGCCGACAGGCGUAGGCGAUGGAUAACAGGUUGAUAUUCCUGUACCACCUAUAAUCGUUUUAAUCGAUGGGGGGACGCAGUAGGAUAGGCGAAGCGUGCGAUUGGAUUGCACGUCUAAGCAGUAAGGCUGAGUAUUAGGCAAAUCCGGUACUCGUUAAGGCUGAGCUGUGAUGGGGAGAAGACAUUGUGUCUUCGAGUCGUUGAUUUCACACUGCCGAGAAAAGCCUCUAGAUAGAAAAUAGGUGCCCGUACCGCAAACCGACACAGGUAGUCAAGAUGAGAAUUCUAAGGUGAGCGAGCGAACUCUCGUUAAGGAACUCGGCAAAAUGACCCCGUAACUUCGGGAGAAGGGGUGCUCUUUAGGGUUAACGCCCAGAAGAGCCGCAGUGAAUAGGCCCAAGCGACUGUUUAUCAAAAACACAGGUCUCUGCUAAACCGUAAGGUGAUGUAUAGGGGCUGACGCCUGCCCGGUGCUGGAAGGUUAAGAGGAGUGGUUAGCUUCUGCGAAGCUACGAAUCGAAGCCCCAGUAAACGGCGGCCGUAACUAUAACGGUCCUAAGGUAGCGAAAUUCCUUGUCGGGUAAGUUCCGACCCGCACGAAAGGCGUAACGAUUUGGGCACUGUCUCAACGAGAGACUCGGUGAAAUCAUAGUACCUGUGAAGAUGCAGGUUACCCGCGACAGGACGGAAAGACCCCGUGGAGCUUUACUGUAGCCUGAUAUUGAAAUUCGGCACAGCUUGUACAGGAUAGGUAGGAGCCUUUGAAACGUGAGCGCUAGCUUACGUGGAGGCGCUGGUGGGAUACUACCCUAGCUGUGUUGGCUUUCUAACCCGCACCACUUAUCGUGGUGGGAGACAGUGUCAGGCGGGCAGUUUGACUGGGGCGGUCGCCUCCUAAAAGGUAACGGAGGCGCUCAAAGGUUCCCUCAGAAUGGUUGGAAAUCAUUCAUAGAGUGUAAAGGCAUAAGGGAGCUUGACUGCGAGACCUACAAGUCGAGCAGGGUCGAAAGACGGACUUAGUGAUCCGGUGGUUCCGCAUGGAAGGGCCAUCGCUCAACGGAUAAAAGCUACCCCGGGGAUAACAGGCUUAUCUCCCCCAAGAGUUCACAUCGACGGGGAGGUUUGGCACCUCGAUGUCGGCUCAUCGCAUCCUGGGGCUGUAGUCGGUCCCAAGGGUUGGGCUGUUCGCCCAUUAAAGCGGUACGCGAGCUGGGUUCAGAACGUCGUGAGACAGUUCGGUCCCUAUCCGUCGUGGGCGUAGGAAAUUUGAGAGGAGCUGUCCUUAGUACGAGAGGACCGGGAUGGACAUACCUCUGGUGUACCAGUUGUCGUGCCAACGGCAUAGCUGGGUAGCUAUGUGUGGACGGGAUAAGUGCUGAAAGCAUCUAAGCAUGAAGCCCCCCUCAAGAUGAGAUUUCCCAACUUCGGUUAUAAGAUCCCUCAAAGAUGAUGAGGUUAAUAGGUUCGAGGUGGAAGCAUGGUGACAUGUGGAGCUGACGAAUACUAAUCGAUCGAAGACUUAAUCAA
rnacentral:rRNA from 1 species